UAAGGGCGCACGGUGGAUGCCUUGGCACUAGAAGCCGAUGAAGGACGUUACUAACGACGAUAUGCUUUGGGGAGCUGUAAGUAAGCUUUGAUCCAGAGAUUUCCGAAUGGGGAAACCCAGCAUGAGUUAUGUCAUGUUAUCGAUAUGUGAAUACAUAGCAUAUCAGAAGGCACACCCGGAGAACUGAAACAUCUUAGUACCCGGAGGAAGAGAAAGAAAAUUCGAUUCCCUUAGUAGCGGCGAGCGAAACGGGAAGAGCCCAAACCAACAAGCUUGCUUGUUGGGGUUGUAGGACACUCUAUACGGAGUUACAAAGGACGACAUUAGACGAAUCAUCUGGAAAGAUGAAUCAAAGAAGGUAAUAAUCCUGUAGUCGAAAAUGUUGUCUCUCUUGAGUGGAUCCUGAGUACGACGGAGCACGUGAAAUUCCGUCGGAAUCUGGGAGGACCAUCUCCUAAGGCUAAAUACUCUCUAGUGACCGAUAGUGAACCAGUACCGUGAGGGAAAGGUGAAAAGCACCCCGGAAGGGGAGUGAAAUAGAACCUGAAACCGUGUGCUUACAAGUAGUCAGAGCCCGUUAAUGGGUGAUGGCGUGCCUUUUGUAGAAUGAACCGGCGAGUUACGAUUUGAUGCAAGGUUAAGCAGUAAAUGUGGAGCCGUAGCGAAAGCGAGUCUGAAUAGGGCGUUUAGUAUUUGGUCGUAGACCCGAAACCAGGUGAUCUACCCUUGGUCAGGUUGAAGUUCAGGUAACACUGAAUGGAGGACCGAACCGACUUACGUUGAAAAGUGAGCGGAUGAACUGAGGGUAGCGGAGAAAUUCCAAUCGAACCUGGAGAUAGCUGGUUCUCUCCGAAAUAGCUUUAGGGCUAGCCUCAAGUGAUGAUUAUUGGAGGUAGAGCACUGUUUGGACGAGGGGCCCCUCUCGGGUUACCGAAUUCAGACAAACUCCGAAUGCCAAUUAAUUUAACUUGGGAGUCAGAACAUGGGUGAUAAGGUCCGUGUUCGAAAGGGAAACAGCCCAGACCACCAGCUAAGGUCCCAAAAUAUAUGUUAAGUGGAAAAGGAUGUGGCGUUGCCCAGACAACUAGGAUGUUGGCUUAGAAGCAGCCAUCAUUUAAAGAGUGCGUAAUAGCUCACUAGUCGAGUGACACUGCGCCGAAAAUGUACCGGGGCUAAACAUAUUACCGAAGCUGUGGAUUGUCCUUUGGACAAUGGUAGGAGAGCGUUCUAAGGGCGUUGAAGCAUGAUCGUAAGGACAUGUGGAGCGCUUAGAAGUGAGAAUGCCGGUGUGAGUAGCGAAAGACGGGUGAGAAUCCCGUCCACCGAUUGACUAAGGUUUCCAGAGGAAGGCUCGUCCGCUCUGGGUUAGUCGGGUCCUAAGCUGAGGCCGACAGGCGUAGGCGAUGGAUAACAGGUUGAUAUUCCUGUACCACCUAUAAUCGUUUUAAUCGAUGGGGGGACGCAGUAGGAUAGGCGAAGCGUGCGAUUGGAUUGCACGUCUAAGCAGUAAGGCUGAGUAUUAGGCAAAUCCGGUACUCAUUAAGGCUGAGCUGUGAUGGGGAGAAGACAUUGUGUCUUCGAGUCGUUGAUUUCACACUGCCGAGAAAAGCCUCUAGAUAGAAAAUAGGUGCCCGUACCGCAAACCGACACAGGUAGUCAAGAUGAGAAUUCUAAGGUGAGCGAGCGAACUCUCGUUAAGGAACUCGGCAAAAUGACCCCGUAACUUCGGGAGAAGGGGUGCUCUUUAGGGUUAACGCCCAGAAGAGCCGCAGUGAAUAGGCCCAAGCGACUGUUUAUCAAAAACACAGGUCUCUGCUAAACCGUAAGGUGAUGUAUAGGGG
rnacentral:rRNA from 1 species